CAGCACCUCAGGCCAGAUGUGCACCCCACACUAUUCCGGAGGAGGGCGGAGGCUGCGCAGCUUCUGUUCAUCCAGGGCUUUCCAGUACUUGAAGUUGUCGUCUAGGUGCUGCAUAAGGUCAGGACUCUGGUGAAUCACUAAAAUAAGUGACCAGCCCUGCACGUCUGGGAACAGGCCUACUAGGUGAUGGAUGACACAACCCUCUACACUGUUGGACUCCGCUUCUCUACACUCAUGGUCUUGAGAAACAGACCGUGGUGUCCCGUGGCACUGCCUUUGUCAGGCAUUGACAAUGGGAUGAUGUGAGACCAUUGCUUUUAGGAGAAACCUGCCAACCCAGGGUUCCAAAUCCAGCAAAGAUAUCCAAAGAGUGAAGACAAAGUAAAUGAAGACAAAGAUAAAGAACACAAUUUGUCAAAAUAAAUGUACAAAAUAAGAAAAGUUCUUUAAAGAUGGAAUCUAUUUCAGAGUUCUCUUUCCUAGUUUUAAGUCCAUAGCCUUAUGGUGUUCCCCCAUUCUAAGCGUGAGUGUGUGCGUGCACGCACGCAUGUUUGUGUAAAGACUUAAGAUAUAGCAUCUUACCUGUGAAAAAUACUCUUCUGAAAUUCGUGCAGCCCACUCGAUGCAGUACUCUAAGGGCCGGCAGGGGUUGGACACAUCUGCACACUUAAUCAUUAUUCGUUUGAUAAGGGCCCGGUUCUCUGGAGUCCUGAGCAUAGUGUUCAUGACUUCCUGAUUAUUGCCAGUUUCCUGAACCACCAGAGAAAUCAAAGCAAUCAAAAUGGUGUCUUCAGGCCCACCACCUAACCUUGGGUUCUGUGAGCCAGGAAGGGCUGUUGCUGGGAUCUACAGUGCUGAAGGCGUCACACAGCAGGGCACUGAGCACCUUUCUUUCUACAAGGAGGAAGCUCAGCAGGGCUCAUCAGCACUGGGGACUGGAAAACCUGCCCUUCUUUUCUCUCUAUCUCUCU